GCCAGAGACUGAUGUUGCUCAGUUGUCAUGGAUCAACUGGAGAUCCAAAGGUACAAACAUGUCAUCCUCUGUGGAGCCCAAGAAUCAGGAGCCACUUCCAAAGCAAAAGCAGGGUCUGUGGGUAAGGCCGAAAGUUCCAUAUUCCUUGAGGAAAAGUUUGGAAUCAUGAAGGAAGAGGAAAAAGGAAGUCAGGAAAUUGAAUGGGAGGGAUAGGGGCAGAGCAGCUGGCCGGGGCUUCCUCGUGAAGCUAAAAGACAGUUUCAGAGAAAGCUCUUGGUUCCCAGUGUAGGUUUUUACCUGCAUGCAUGUCUAGUGAGGGUGUCAGAUUCCCUGGAACUGGAGUUACAGACAGUUGUGAGCUGUCAUGUGGGUGCCGGGAAUUGAACCCUGUUCUACUGCAAGAGCAGCCAGUGCUCUUAACCAUUGAGCCACCUCUCCGGCACAUGCAGUCUUAUUUUAUGAACCAGUGGAAGACUAUGCUGGGAAUAUUGGCCUCCACUUCUGGGUGUCAGAUGGAAGCUGAGGCUGUCUUGCUGUAUCUGUGGACACAGGUCUCCCUGAGCAGAAUAGGAGGCAAUUUCAGGACCACAGUCACCCAGGUGCCCAAUUUUUCUGUCCCACCCUAGCCUUGCUUGAAGCUCAGAUUGGCCUCCAGCAAUGGGUGGACCAGGGCAGGAUUGGUGGAGACUGAUUUAUGUGCUUAUUGUAUGCAGAUGAUCUGGUAAGAGCCACGGGCCUCUCCUUGACCCUGAGUUCUGACACUGAGCUGCAAACAUCUCUACCCUUCACCCACCUCAGGCUUUGAACACUUUGCUUCAGGCCCACCCAACAGAAGGAAGGAGUAGGAGGGUUAUGGGUGAAGAACCAUGAAAUACAGUCACUUCUUCCAGUCUGGGAUUGGCUUGUUUUUGUGAAGUGGUCUCUGCUUCGGCUUUCUUCUUGGAGCUAGGUGGUAAGGGGCAAGCAGGACACACAGGGAUGGCCAAAUGUACCACCCACCCCCACCCCCACCCCCAGAUCCUGUCUUGGGUGUCCAUGACGGUUCCCUUGCCUGGCCUGGAAUUUGAGUUUUUAGCAAACACUUUGAGUACUCCUGGACAGAGCAUUGCUCAGCAGGCUGAGGACUCCAGGCCAGAUCCAUCUUCCUGCCCUCCCUCCUCAGCUGGACUAAGACUCCCCUUUCCUCACUCUGAGACUACCAGAACGUCUUAUGUCUGGAUCCUGGAGCCUGCCUGGAAAUCAAGGCAGCUUUAACCUCAGAGGGAAGGCUCAUCAGAACAAAAACAGCACUUGUAAACAGCACUGUGUCAGUAGCUGGACCUUUCCCCUCUCAGUCACCCUGGGUCACUACUCUUUCCCCCUGAGGACAGGGAAGCCUGGCUUGAUACAGCAGAGGCAGACCUGGAGUUAUCUCUGGAUCCAGGUGUUUGAAGAGCACAGAAGGAGGAGUGAGAGAGGGUAGAGGAAGAAGGGGGAGACUUGAGACGGAGGGGGUGGAUUGAGGGAGGGAGGGGAUGUGUAAAAGAGGGAAGGAAGGGGAGGAAGACGGAGGAAGAGGGGGAGAGAGAAGAAAAAGGGAGAGCUGCUGGUGAGGAGAAAGGGGAGGAGAGAAGAAGGGGAGGGAGAAGGGCAGUGAACUGAGAAAAAUCUCUCCCAUUCCCGGUAUUUGCUUGUGCUCCAUUCAUUUGUCGGGCUUGGUCUGGGUCCACCCUCUCCACCAGGAAAUGCUCACUGUGUCCUUUUGUCCCUUAGAAUCAUUGUCCUCACCUUUCAGGCUCUAAGCUCAGGUGUAGUUCAGGUGCCCAAGGCCAUGUUGAUUAGUAACAGUGGAGACCGGCUCUGUCAGCUCUCUGUGACAAAAGGACAGAGUCAAAGAACAGACUGGCUCUUCUCUGACCUAGAAGAGCUGCAGCUCCACAGGAAGACCCUGUGAGGCACCUGACUGGCAGCGCACUCCAGACAGAGCUGCUUGGGAAGAGUGGGACCCAGGGAUUCAGCCCCCUGAAGAAGACACCUAGGGUCAGCAUCCUGGCGUAGCCCACAGCCCCACUGACAGGUUUAUUACCAAGCUUUACAGCUUCCAAGCUUAGUCACCCGCUGAAGUCAGGCUGCUCAGAAACAAACACAUAGCAAAGCUGUGACCCAGCUGCCUGAUCUGGGAGAGGCGACCCACCCUGGGCAAAACUGGCACAGAAGAGGCAGCAGGCUGAGGUCGGGCGAGCCACGCUUGUCCUUAAUCUUCCUUGUCUUUCCUUUGAAGCACUUAUGGUGUGAGAAGCAGAUUCCUGCAGACACCUGAGAAAGCCUAAUGCCCUAAGGGUGUGGGAUGUCCUGUUCCCCCGGGACUCCCCAGGGAGCUCAGCCUGAAGCUUGGAGAAGAAAAAGUUUUUUUUUUAAAAAAGGAAAGAAACAAAAAGAAUUCAAGGCCCUCCUAGCUUUAGUUCAUGAACAGAGAAGAGUCCAGGCCCGGAUCCAAAAUAGUUCAACCCAAAUUCCUUUUCCCUGGCUGCUCUUUCCCCCAUACAUGGCCUCCACAGAACCUCAACCUCCCCCAGUUUCCCUAGCUGUGACCCAUCACUAAGUGCCACUCAGUACUUCAGCCCUUUAUCUAUCUAAGUUAGUGGCUCUCCUGCCCAACUGAGCAUAGUCGGGAUAAGUAAUUCCACUUGGGGGCAGUCCCUCCUGCUGUCUGGGGCAUCAAGGACAUGGAACAUCCCUUCCUGCUGGCUGUCCCCCGCUGCCAGCUCACCUCAUGUUCCUGUCCCAGGCUGGAGAAAGGAUAAGAAGUCCAGUGAGUGGGAAGCUGGGGAGAAAAACCUCAGGGAGCCUUGGACUUGCCUGAUUCCCUUGGAUUAGUGCAGAGGGGUGCACAUGUGUGCACAGAUGUGCACAUCACUGCUCACUGCCCAGGGAAUCUAAGUGCCCACCCUCAACCUCUUGCUGGAGUCAGGACACCGUGUCAGCCCCUUGCAGCAAAAAACAAAAACAAACAAACAAAAAACAACAACAACAACAACAAAAAAAACCCAAGCACAUCCUUUUCUCUUUGGGAUUUUUGCUUCUGAAACACAGUCUGCUUCUUUCACUUCCUUUCCCCCUUUCCCAGCAUGCACCAGUGUUUUUACGAUUGAAGUUCACUCUUGAUUUUUAUCUAAUUGUAACAUAGUAAAAGCUGCUGCUAAUUGUAACACAGUAAAAGCUGCUACAAUAUUGUUAAAUACGGACUGAAAGUUCCCAGCCCCAAAGGCAAGGACAUGACAGGGCAGGUUGAGUCUGUACAUCCGAGAAGGGGUCAGUUGUGAUGUCACAUCCAAAUCUACAUGACACAUGUGUGUGCAUCACUGUGGGGGUUUCCUGGAGCAGCAGUAAAGCCCAUACUUAGGAUACUAGUUCCAGAGUGUGCAAGACUUAGAUCCCAACUAUGCUACUUACUAAUUUCACUAUGCAGGUCAGUGUGUAAACCUCAGAACCUACAGCUGUCAGGUGGGAGAUUGAGAGCCUGACUGUCCGAGUGGUGAUGCUUUAACUAUGUUGGUGAGGAAAUGGCUGUGUAACAACUGAUUGUCCUGUCUCAGUGGUGAACAGUAAUGAAUGGCAUUUUGAGUGUUUCUGAAUCUUGGCCAGGCUGUGUGUCGCUUCAAGCUGAAGGUCUGGUGGGCUCAAGUGCACUUGUUGAGUUUAACCCAGGUUCUGGACAAUGUGGCAGCAACUGCCUCCAGGACACUUCUCACAGUAAUGACAAGACACAGAAGAGCCCAAGGCCAGCGACUGCUGAAGCAAGUUUCAAGCCCUU
rnacentral:lncRNA from 1 species